rnacentral:rRNA from 1 species
CCUACGGGUGGCAGCAGUGGGGAAUAUUGCACAAUGGGGGAAACCCUGAUGCAGCGACGCCGCGUGAAGGAAGAAGUUUUUCGGUAUGUAAACUUCUAUCAGCAGGGAAGAAAAUGACGGUACCUGACUAAGAAGCCCCGGCUAACUUCGUGACAGCAGCCGCGGUUAUGCGGAGGGGGCAAGCGUUAUCCGGAUUUACUGGGUGUAAAGGGAGCGUAGGCGGGUUAGCAAGUCAGAAGUGAAAGCCCCGGGCCCAACUCCGGGACUGCCUUUGAAACUGGUGAACGUGAUUGCAGGAGAGGUAAGUGGAAUUCCUAGUGUAGCGGUGAAAUGCGUAGAUAUUAGGAGGAACACCAGUGGCGAAGGCAGCUUACUGGACUGUAAAUGACGCUGAGGCUCGAAAGCGUGGGGAGCAAACAGGAUUAGAUACCCCGGUAGUC